UACGUAGGGUGCAAGCGUUAAUCGGAAUUACUGGGCGUAAAGCGUGCGCAGGCGGUUCUAUAAGACAGAUGUGAAAUCCCCGGGCUCAACCUGGGAACUGCAUUUGUGACUGUAGAGCUGGAGUACGGUAGAGGGGGAUGGAAUUCCGCGUGUAGCAGUGAAAUGCGUAGAUAUGCGGAGGAACACCGAUGGCGAAGGCAGCCCCCCUGGGCCAAUACUGACGCUCAUGCACGAAAGCGUGGGGAGCAAACAGG
rnacentral:rRNA from 1 species